AGAUUGAACGCUGGCGGCAUGCCUUACACAUGCAAGUCGAACGGCAGCACGGACUUCGGUCUGGUGGCGAGUGGCGAACGGGUGAGUAAUAUAUCGGAACGUACCCUGGAGUGGGGGAUAACGCAGCGAAAGUUGCGCUAAUACCGCAUACCGAUCGUACGGAUGAAAGGUGGGGCUCGCAAGACCUCAUGCUCGUGGAGCGG
rnacentral:rRNA from 1 species